rnacentral:rRNA from 1 species
AUGGCCUGUGUCGACAUCCAUGGCAUGAGUGUGACGCUCACGAUGCCCGACCAGCUGUCGCACUCCGGGAAGAAGAGAGCCGCCGACGAGGAUCUCGUCCUCGCCGACGAGUCCGAGGCCCGUGGAUGGUCCUCGGCGGUCUCGGACCGCAGGCUCGUCCUGCGCCGCCGGCGAGGUCCGGUUUCCUCUUCCUGCUGCCGCGGCUGCAUCAUGGUGACGGAGGCACCGGACUGCCGUGCCGAGGAGGCGGUCGAAGGCGCCCAGCUAGCUGCACCGGAGAGCAAGGCUUCCUCUGUUGAGGAGCUGGUCUGCUGGACAGUACUCUAA